rnacentral:lncRNA from 1 species
UGCUCCUAAGGUGAGAGAGAAAAAAAAAUCUCUUCUUCACUAAUUCAGUUUGCUUUGUCCUGCUUCAUCGUUCAUCAUUCUUGUUCACAUGUAAACUGAUUUUGUUGUUUUUUCCAUUAUGGUUCAUGUGCGUAGUUGUUUCACUGUAUAUAACAGAAUGUGGUUGGGAGUAUCACCGCAAACUGUUUUGUAGAAUAUUCAAUCACCCCUCAACCACAUGACUAUGACUUGGUUUUAUUAUCACUAGAAUAUGGCUCUAAACUGGGUUGUGUCAAACACUGUUUACUUGGAAAACAAAAGAAAAUCCACCUCCAAAUAGCUCUUAAAUUUGGUUAUGUUGUACUUUUAGUUGCACGA